UCAUAAAAAUGAAUAUGACCAAGCUCGCGAAAAAAUUUAAGAGUGGGCUGAGCCUGGACCGACUUCAAGUAAAAAAAAAUCUUGAAGCUGUCCAUCUUAUUAUAGAACCAAAUUCUAAAAACCAAUUCGAUAUGAAUUUUUAAAAUUGCCACGAAUUGAUGAAGAAAAUUGAUUUUGGAUGCGAAGAAGGAGAGAAUUUGAAGAGAUGAAAAAUUGCAUUCGGCGAAUUUGGAUUGUCGUUUUUGGACCAUACUAAGUGUGGUCACCGGUGAGGCGGGGUUUAUCUGAUGGAAUAUGCUGACUACAGGGACUUGAUUGAUAUUCAUCAAUUCCUUGUUUUGCUACUUGUUAUUUUCUGGAUAAGCUCAUUGAUUAGCAUCAUCUGGCUGUAUUCUACUUUUGUGUAAGUGCAAGCUAGAACAAUCAUAACAGGAAGGCCCGCGUGUAAGUUCUAACGGGAAGGCCCGUGUGCUCGAAGGUCUGAAAAUUCAAAGCAAUUUGGGCUGACAUGAUCCAGUGGAGGAAGUAUUUUGUUUGUUCAGGUGAGAUUUCCAGGGUUAGGUGCAACGUUAUGCCUAAGAUUUUGGGGUUCAGUAAUGUGAUGGAAAAAACGAGGCAGGGUUUAGCUGAAGCUGACCAGCAGUCUUGGGAAUUGAAGGUGAGGGUGAAUUGAAGGUGGAAGAUUGAACAAGCUGAUUAUGCAUGGUAUUGUUAAAAUUUGUCUUUAUUUAUUCAGCUUUGUUGUAAGAGUGAAUUGUGCUAUGGGCUAGAACAAUGGAAUAACUGAUAAUAAGCUGUUAGUUCAACUUUAGAUGGAGAAAUGACAUCAUCAAGUUAUUGAUAAUGAUAAUGAUGAUCUCUGUGUCUUUUUGCCUUGUUGAUAAUGAAUUCAAGUGAGUUGUACAAUUGUUAUUGUUUUGUGGGAUUUUAGUGCAUUGAAAUAUGGUGGUGUCAAUAGUAUUUAGUUUCAUUUUAUAUUGUGAUUGUGCAAGGAACUGUUCUAUAACUACAAUUAUGAAAAAUUAAAACAUUUCAAAGAGGAUAUAAAGUAGUUAGGAAUCAAGUAGGGCAGAGAGAAUUCUAGUCAAGUAGUGUCUAUCACACUAAGGUAAGCAACUCAACUUAAUCUUAUUUUUAAUGUAAUUAUUAUCCCUCGAUCUAGUCAUAAUUUUUCUGCUUUCUCUGCUAGGAAUUGGGUCAGAAAAACAGAGCAAGUAAGCAAAUUAGAGAGAAAAUUAGCUAGAACCAGAUAGAUUGUAUUGCAAGUCAGAGUAACUACAAUACAACUCCUUUCUUUUGAGAGGAAAGGAUGUUCUCCCAAGGAAUGAAUUCCACAAAUGAUUUCUAGAUACAUUCCCUCUACAAUUAUUCCCUUAAAUAACCAAAGAUAACUAACAAGCUGCCAUAACAAACUCAGCACACAAAACAAGGACUUACAAACUUAUUUCUUAAUUACUGAUUUACCCCUCCCUGUAACUAACUUCCAGCUCACCCAAAACCAGCUCACUCUCUUCUAACAGCUCCUUGCUUGGGCUUCCUUCUUGCAUAUGUAAACCGGACCUUGGGACUGGGCUGAUCUCUAGCAUUCUCUUAUCUUUUGUUUUUGAAAUUGACUUCCCCCCCCUCCCCCUCCCCCUCUUUUUUUUUUUUUUACCUUCAGGUUUGUGAUUUAGAUUGCUAAAGUUAAGUUUGCCAUUGUUGUUUUGUUGGCUGACCAAGGAUUAUUUGUUCCCAUUUAUGCAGAUAUUAACAUUAUUUCAUUAACUCAUAUUUUGGUGUUUGAUAUAAGAUCGUUUGGGACCUAUAAUUGCAUAAAUUGGAUUUGUGAUGGGGUAAGAUGAAAGGCUUUUAAAAGUUUGAGUACCGAAUUAUAACAUGGCCAAACCAUUAUUGAAUCAUGGGCUGGGGUAGGGGGGAGGGGAUGAUCUGAAUGUGUCAUGAAGAAUGGUGUUUGUGACGUCAGUUUGCUGAUAGCUCAACGUUAAUAUGUUUUGAUAGUUCAACCUGAAGAGAUGUAGAGAAUGAUACAAAAAGGUAGGUUGGGUAGGGGAGUAAAAAAAAAAAUCAGGGGCCUCCACAUAUUCAUCAGUAGCAAUCAGGGGCCUCCACAUAUUCAUCAGUAGCACUGAUAAUUAAAGGUCAAAUGUUUUUUUAAUUUUUUUUUUAAUAUAUAUAUCUUAUUGAUUGCAUUGAUCUUUUCUGUUAUCAGGAAGAGACUUACACUUCAUAUCACUGAACUGUGUCGAACUGCAAUCUGUAAAGCAAUACAUGGUGGUUUCAAGGACACUCUCAUGAAUGACUUAGUUGUUCUUGUGCUAGAAUAUAUGGUUGAAUAGUGGUCUUGGUCAGGGGCUUCUACUACAAUGAUGGUUAAUUGAGAUUUGAGAUGGUUGUUUUAUUAAGAACUUGGAUUUUACAAUGUUUAAUUAAGGUUUUGACACUCUCAAGUCUUGAUUUGGGCUAAAAAUAAUCUCUGAAGAGUUGUUUGAAGAUUAUUUUGUCAGCCGUACUGGACUUUGGGUUCAUUUUUUUCCCUUUUUCUGUUACUCUAAUUCAGAAAUGAUUGUUCAUUAUUAACCAUGUUGUUGAGCUGAUGAUGAUGGAUGUCUUUGGAAAUUGUCUCAUACAGAUGUCUGCAGUUUUGAACAAAGAAUGAGGAUUGUACAUGUGGUGACCAAAAACCAUGGAGAGCUUGUCAAAAUUUCCUUAAAUACACAUGGGAAUUGUUAUUCAACAUAAUGAAUUGAUUAUUCCUUGUUAGCCUUAUUUAUAUAGUUUUGCCAAUGAUUUCCAAUAAUGAGGAGUUUUUUUUUUUUUUUUUUUUUUUUUUUUUUUUUUUUUUUUAAUUAAUUAAUUUUAAAUUUUUUUUUAAGGUCAUGAGUGGUGCAGAAAUUGAUCGAGAGCCUCAAAUCAAGGAAGUAGAUUUCAAUGGUGAUUUGAGCUCUUGAAUCAGUAUUUCUUGAUCUUAUAAAAGAUCUGAAUGGGAAUCAUGUUUUCCAGUGUUGCUUUCAAUGCCUUAGCAGUGAUGUUAAUAAGUUCAUCUUAAACGCGGCUGCAAAGUUCUGUGUUGAGAUUGCUACUCAUUGGCUUGGGCGUUGUGUUCUUCAACGUUGCAUUUCUCACUCCACUGGUGAACAUUGGUAGAAGUUGUUAGAUCAAAUUUGUAGCAAUGGGCUUAUCCUUGCUCAAGAUCCUUUCGGUGUUAUGCAGAUCUACAUGAAUCCAUGGAUUGUGAGAACUACCUGAGCUCAAGUAUCUGAAUACUCCGAAACAGCUAAUAAGGAGAUGAAAUGACUAGGUUCAUAUGUAAAUCCAAAAGAGUUUGCGAAUAUAUAUGCUCGCUAUGAUAAUGUGUCCAAGUGUCGAACUUGGGUAUUUUGUGGAAUCUAUCCAUGAUUUUGAACUAAAAUGAAGUGUCUAAGUGUCCUACUCAUGUCCGAGUGUCAAGGGUCUGACAUGGGUACUUAAGGUGAAAUGAAGACUUAUAUAUCCUUUUCCGAAGCUUGAUUGGUCUCCCAAAUCAUGAUUCCACCAAUGACAAAGUCACAAUCGAAAGUGCAGAAGCUACAUUAAAGUAUGAUGUGAGUAUGAUGUUGAAUUGAUGGGCAAUUCGCUUGGUUGCUCCGCCUCUAAUGAGCGGCUGUUGUCAGCGACGAGAGACGGAGGGUCAUAGUGUGGAUAUAACAUAUCAGAAGAUUCAGAACACCUCUAUGAGGCUGUUGUUUACCUACAUGCGGGAUGCACAGAGAGUUUCCAAUUUAGUGGUGCAUUCUCUUUGUUAAUUGAAUAUAUUAUGGAGCAGGAGCUGUUUGUUGUUACGUUGUAUUCUUGAAUCUGCUGAGGGUGAUAUAAUUUGUUUAUCUGCUGAUCACAGGCUUGAGAGCAAUGAGGAAGAGAGAGAUCGUGUUACAGCCUGUGGAGGUGAAGUUGGUCGGCUUAAUACUGGUGGUGGAACAGAGAUUGGUCCUUUGAGGUGUUGGCCUGGUGGCCUUUGUCUAUCUCGAUCCUUGGAGAUAUGAAUGUUGGCGAAUUUAAAGUUCCAGUUCCUUAUGUGGAACAAGUGAGGGAUAACACGCCGCCACCUGCUUGCUUUGACGCUAGAAGUAAAUGGAGUAGUUUUGAACGUUAUGGUGAUGAGGAAAGAAGAAAAGCCUAAUGCAAGCGAAAGGAAGAGGAGUUGGGUCAUUGCCAUUUGGAGAGGGUCUGUGACUGGACUCGUGUUAGAUUUGACGUGGACACUAGAAAUUGAGUGUAUCUCGGCAACAUGUCAAGUUUUGUGAUGAGAAUGUGCCCUUGUGUAUGUGCAAAAGGUUAUCUCCAAUGCUCCCUAUUCAAACAAGGGCCCUAAAUCAAGGGUUUGGUCUCCUCCUCAAAGGGGUUACUUCAAACUUAACACUGACGGUUCGUGGGUGUCUGGGAAAUUCUGAUGCAGGGGGGUAUCAUUCAAUGCCAUCAAGGUAAAUGGCAAUUUGGUUACACUAUGAAGAUCAUUGCUCUUGAGGCAGCCUCCACUGAACUAAUAGCUAUCCGAGAAGGGCUUACUGCUGCAUGGGACAAAGGAAUCAGGUACUUAUAACUCGAAACAGAUGCUGAAGCCAUUCGCUACAUGACUGAAAACCCGCAGGACUACUUAGACCACCAACUUGCUGUUCUGGUGAAUGAUCUUGCUCUAUUGCUUCGUAGAGAUUGGAGUGUUAAUGUGCUUCAUGUUUAAAGGGCAGCAAACAAAAUUGCCCAUGGUCUUGCUGACAUUACCAUUACGCCUCUUCUCCCGCCUGACGCAGAUCUACACUGAAGAAUUGACCCUCUGGCCUGUGGCCAUGACUGAUGGAAACUGAAGCUUAUGAAGUUCUGCUUCCCAAGCCACUGCUAGGCUACCCAUUUAUCUUUAAAGAUUAUUUAGUUUACUUAGUUUAUGUUUGUUUAUUUUCAGCUUUCUACUUUCUUCUGGUUCAGGUUGAUGCUGGGUACCUGAGGAUAGUUUUUUCCAUCUUAUCCUUGUGGCUGCCUUUUUUGUACCCACUUUUGGUCUAAUAUUCUGGGUUUCAAGGAUGCUAUUUUUCAUCCUCUUACAAUAUAAGUCCUCUUUGGUUUUUUAUUUUUAUUUUUAUUUUUUGUAAAAAAUGUCAUUAUUGCAUUGUAAUCCCGACUCUUAAAUUUGCAAACUGCUAAAAAAUUGACACUGGCUAUACUAAA